UACGGAGGGAGCUAGCGUUGUUCGGAAUUACUGGGCGUAAAGCGCACGUAGGCGGCUUUGUAAGUUAGAGGUGAAAGCCCGGGGCUCAACCCCGGAAUUGCCUUUAAGACUGCAUCGCUUGAAUCCAGGAGAGGUGAGUGGAAUUCCGAGUGUAGAGGUGAAAUUCGUAGAUAUUCGGAAGAACACCAGUGGCGAAGGCAGCUCGCUGGGACGGUACUGACGCUGAGGCGCGAAAGCGUGGGGAGCAAACAGG
rnacentral:rRNA from 1 species